rnacentral:rRNA from 1 species
CACGUAGGGCGCAAGCGUUGUCCGGAAUUAUUGGGCGUAAAGAGCUCGUAGGUGGUUUGUUACGUCUGCUGUGAAAACCUAGGGCUUAACCCUGGGCUUGCAGUGGAUACGGGCAGACUAGAGGUAGGUAGGGGAGAAUGGAAUUCCUGGUGUAGCGGUGAAAUGCGCAGAUAUCAGGAGGAACACCGGUGGCGAAGGCGGGUCUCUGGGCCGAUACUGACGCUGAGGAGCGAAAGCGUGGGGAGCGAACAGG